UGGGGAAUUUUGGACAAUGGGCGAAAGCCUGAUCCAGCAAUGCCGCGUGUGUGAAGAAGGCCUUCGGGUUGUAAAGCACUUUUGUCCGGAAAGAAAUCCUUGGCUCUAAUACAGUCGGGGGAUGACGGUACCGGAAGAAUAAGCACCGGCUAACUACGUGCCAGCAGCCGCGGUAAUACGUAGGGUGCAAGCGUUAAUCGGAAUUACUGGGCGUAAAGCGUGCGCAGGCGGUUUGCUAAGACCGAUGUGAAAUCCCCGGGCUCAACCUGGGAACUGCAUUGGUGACUGGCAGGCUAGAGUAUGGCAGAGGGGGGUAGAAUUCCACGUGUAGCAGUGAAAUGCGUAGAGAUGUGGAGGAAUACCGAUGGCGAAGGCAGCCCCCUGGGCCAAUACUGACGCUCAUGCACGAAAAGCGUGGGGGAGCAAAACAGGAUUAGAUACCCUGGUAGUCCACGCCCUAAAACGAUGUCAACUAGUUGUUGGGGAUUCAUUUCCUUAGUAACGUAGCUAACGCGUGAAGUUGACCGCCUGGGGAGUACGGUCGCAAGGUUAAAACUCAAAUGAAUUGAC
rnacentral:rRNA from 1 species